UACGUAGGGGGCUAGCGUUGUCCGGAAUCAUUGGGCGUAAAGCGCGUGUAGGCGGUCCGGUAAGUCCGCUGUGAAAGUCGGGGGCUCAACCCUCGAAUGCCGGUGGAUACUGUCGGGCUAGAGUGCGGAAGAGGCGAGUGGAAUUCCUGGUGUAGCGGUGAAAUGCGCAGAUAUCAGGAGGAACACCAGUGGCGAAGGCGACUCUUUGGCCUGUAACUGACGCUGAGGCGCGAAAGCGUGGGGAGCAAACAGG
rnacentral:rRNA from 1 species